rnacentral:lncRNA from 1 species
CUUCCUGCGCUACCGCCUCAGCCAAUGAGUCCGUCUACGUCACUAUUAUCCCUCGACGUAAUCCCCCUGCCUCAAUAGAAGAAGACCCAUCAGAGGACACGGAAGGUACAGGAAACUCGAUAGAGAUCAGCAAUCACAACGCCCUGAGUCAACGACGUGAGGCAUCACCUGUAUCGGUGUUGCCACAGCCGCCACUUUAUGGACUUCGCAUUCGGAGGACGGCGAGGAAGAGUGUUCCCAUUCCAGGAAGGAUACCCGCCAGCACAGCAGGACUCGGCAUGGCAGGACCUAGUGGAGCAGGACCCAACGUUGCAGGGCCGAGAGCACCCUCACCACAGCGAGUCAUAGGGAUACCUGUCAGGCAGCUAGGUAUGACCCCGGAGGAGUCCCGGAGAUUGCAGUCGAUGGCAGCGGGCCUACGCCACAGUCUCGCUGUGAUAGCUGGGCAUCAGGAAGUUUUGGACGAAGUGAUGAUAGGAAUGGAAAUCCUGUAUCAGCAUUCGACAAAGACUGCUAACACUGCUAGUGCUGCUAGACAAGAGGCAGGUCAUGCGAUGACAGCAUAUUAUGUUUUUGGUGGGCUGUUCCUGAUUGUGGUGUUGGUGCUUCUUGUUGGGCUAGCGAUUGGCUUUUGGUUCUGAUUCCUGUGUCAUAGAACCAUGUCAGGAAGGCCUAGUCGCGGGCACCCACAGAAUGAAACACCCGAUGUUGCUCAAGUUGUAGCACAACAGCUCUUGGAAGUAAUUCCAAACAUUGUUACUCAAGUGACUGCAGGACUUAAUGCUAACCAAGGAAGUAGUGGAGGAAACUGGGGAAACAAUGAAAGAGAAUGCAACUACAAGUCCUUUAUGGCCUGUAAACCUANAGGAAGUAUGGAGGAAACUGGGGAAACAAUGAAAGAGAAUGCAACUACAAGUCCUUUAUGGCCUGUAAACCUAAGGAAUUCCACGGAAAAGAAGGUGCUGUCGGGUUGCUGAAAUGGAUUGACAGCAUGGAGUCGGUCCUUCACAUUAGCAAAUGCCUCGAGCGCAACAAAGUUGAGUAUGCAACUUGCCUACUCCAAGAUAGGGCAUUAACCUGGUGGAAUACUCUAGUGCAAACCCGAGGCCGUACAGCGGCAUAUCAGCUAACUUGGGAAGACCUAAAGAAGCUGCUGAUAGAGGAGUAUUGUCCCAAGGAUGAACUUCAGAAGCUUGAAUCUGAAUUCUGGAACCAUUCUAUGGUUGGAACACAAAUAGAGAAGUACACAGUCCGAUUUCAUGAACUAGCAAAACUAGUACCUCACAUGGUUACUCCUGAGGAGAAACGGAUAGAUCGUUACAUCUGGGGUCUGGCACCAGAGAUUCGGGGAAUGGUUACCUCAGCAAACCCAACUACCAUUCAAAGUGCAGUAAGCCUAGCAAAUCGACUAACCAAUGAUGUGAUAAGGAUGGGAGCAUCAGCAAAGGAAAGCUCUAGUAGCAAGAGGAAGCCAACAAAUCAGGGAGAGAAGAAGUAUGGAGGCAAGUCAGGGAGGAAGCAGAAAGUCUCAAGAAACUUUAUGGUAAGAGCCCAGGAGCAAGAACCAGUGAAAACUCAAGGACAAGAAGUGCAGGAGCGAAAGCAGUACUCAGGGCCGCUUCCGAAGUGCAAUAAGUGUAACUUCCAUCACAAGGGAGCUUGCCCGGUGUGCCAAAACUGUAAGCAAACAGGCCAUUACUCGAAGUAUUGUAAGGUGAAUAAGG